GCAAUGCUAAAUUGCCCAUAGUCUCCAAGGAUGUGUAGGUUAGGUGAAUUAACCAUGGGAAAUGCAGGGUUACAGGGAUAGGGUAGAGGGGUGGAUCUGGGCAGAUGCUCCUUGAAGGGUCAUUGUUGACUUGCUGGGCCAUAUGGCCUGCUUCCAAUCUAAGGAUUUGAUAUUCUAUUGAUUUCCCUUUCAUCUGCCCUUCUGGUUACAUCCUCAAAGGACUCUAAUUUGCUAAACAUGAUUUUCUUUUAGAAUUUUUACUACUUUAUACAUUUUUACUACUUUUUUUUGGUUUUCUACAUGCAUUUUUAAAACUUUGACUGGCCAAUGGUUUUCUCUCUCUUUCUCUUUCCUCCCCCCUCCCCCCCCCAAUCCGUCCUUGGAAAGUACUGUAAAAGUCUGUAGCUUCCAAAUUGAUGGGACCAUUCUCUAAUGAAUUUUGGUACUGAGCAUAUGUUCUGAUAUUUUGUGCUACUAAAUUAUCGGUGCUAUCUAUAUAUGAUCCAAAGACAUUAAUUCCAUGUGAAUGUCUAUUUUGUGGGGAUUAUUGUAAACUGAAUUUUUAAGUAAUGCAUUGUGUUAGUUAAAAUAAUAUUCAAACUCUGGAGCAUUUAGAUUUUGGAAUAUAAAUAAAUGGUGCACGUUAUCCAUUGUUACUCAAGAAUUCUUUUGAGAUAAUGACCCCAAUUAUAUCGAUACUUCUGAUACUGUGAUACCAUUAACAAAAUACUCAUUUACUGUACUUACUAUGAAAUAUAUCUGGAAAUAAACCUUAAGUAUUGUCAAAACUUUAGAUUUAACUUCUGAAUGUCAUGUAAGAAAUGACAUAGCAUGUUAAUGAUAAAGAUGACAAUUUCAUGUGAGGACUUUUCCAUUUUUACAGAAAAUAUCAAAAGCCUUUGGUCUUGUUCAGCUGUGAAAACAGUUUUUUGUUUAAAAUGCCAGCUUUAUUAGUGUAUCUUAGCAGCAAUGAUAAAUCAAUAUUCUUAUAAUAUCCAGAAAAUGAGAUUGCUAGUAUUUGACCAGUCCAAAGGUCAAAAAUGAGGGUGUAAAGAGAUUAGUGAUGGUGGAUAGUUAAGGAGAAAGCUUACAGCACCAACAGUAACCCCAAAGACUGUCCUUACCUGGAGGUUUUAAUUGCACAAAAAUAAAAUGUCUUGUAGCUCUUUUCAAAUAAAUUGCAUCCUAGGAUGAGAAACUAAGUUGAAAUAUUCAACUUGUUAAAUUCCACAUUUCAAAAUGAGCACCCACGCACACAUUGCAGUGCACUGUUAAAUGGGAUUAUGUAUAUUAUAUGAAAGUUCAGACAUUAGAUCUCAACCCAUUAUCCUUGAAUUUGUUGAUUCCAUGACCAAAUUGAAAGUUUCUCUCACUGUUUAAAAUAGUAAAUGAAAUAUUAAAAUCAUUCAAUAUUUUCAGGUGUUUUGUUCCUUACAGAAAUCUGCUUUUAAAAAUAUGCAAACAAAUUUAAACCAAGUACAGGGUAACAAUCUUACAGUAUAUUAGUUCCUUAUUUGACUUUUUAGGCCAUCUUCCUUGAGCAAUAGAAUGUAGCCGCUUUUAUUAUAAGCAGCUAUUUCUGGAAAGUGAGUCACAAAGAUAUUGAUUAUAACUUGAACAGGAUUUUAAGGAUUCAUUACAUUCAGAGAUGCUGAGCAAUAGAGAAUAUAUUUCUAUAGAAAUAUAGAACCAGAGUGGAAGGGUACUGACUCCUGUCCCCACUCCUUUUUCGUCCUUUUAUUAUCUGUAUUGGGCAGCAAUAUACUAGAAACUAAAUAUACAUUGGUUUGUGUGUAAUACAACAUUCAUCAAAAUACAAUAGUAUUUUUUUUAAAGUUGAUUUUUCACUUGUGAAUAUCUUGCAUGCCCUCUUGCUGUGAUAAGUUAUGACCUCUGAAAUUGCAUUGUUUCUGGCUUCCAUUCUUGUUACUGAUACCACAUGAGGUUUUCACUACAAGUGACCUUAAUUAUAAAUCUUUUGUGAUUUGCUGAGUAGAAGAUUGCAUGUUUCAAUUUAAGCUUUCCAUUGCCUAGUGACGACUACUCAGUAAAUUCUGUUGUCCAUAUCAGCAUAGUGUUUUCUCAGUACACCUAGAGUUAAUUUCCUGUUUUUCUUGUCUACUAUUCUUCCUGCCAGUUUACUUAAAACUGGAGAAGUAGAAUUUGAUUUUUCAGCCUUGAUCAUUUGACAAGAAUAUCAAUCUUGAUUCCUGUUUAAAACCUUCCUUCAUUGCAAGGGGUUAAUCUUUCUGAUCCAAAACAUCAUAACACAAUUUAAAGAUUGCAUCUUCCAAUUAAUUAAAAGAAAGAUUUACUGCUUUAAUUACUGUUCAACAUGGUAUUGUAACACCAAGUUAAUUACGAAGCUGAUUUGUUUGAUCAUUGAUCAGUGUAGGUCAUUUAAUGUGCAAUUGGUCACAUGCAUGCUAUAAUUUCCAAAAUGCUUCUGGAAUUGGUGUGAAGUGUCAAUGAUAUCUGAUACUGAUUGCUGUUCUUUAGCUCCUGUUUAAAAUGCCGGGUGUUAAUACAGAGGGACAUUGAUUAUCCGUACAAGAUGGGUGGGCAUUAUUUCGUUUGGAUAAUUGAUUAUCCGGAUAAUUGAUUUUACCUUGGACAAGGGAAGCCAUGCUGAUCUAACGCUGUGCUCUACUGGAGAAUUUGUUUAAAUCUAUAAUUUUAAUGUGUUGAGCGCAAGAGGACACAGAUUUCACAUGAAUAAAAUAAAGCAAUGAUAACACGAAAAAAAUGUUUUAAUGCAGUAGCAGUUUGCAUUUGGCACGGAGUGGUGAAGACAGCAUUAAACAAGGUUUCAAACAGCUCCUAUGAUUGCAAGACCGUUUCAGUUUCUGGGAACUCAGUCUCACAAUAGUAAUAUAGAAGCACCACCUUGCGCAUGCGUUUACGUUCUCGGCUAUUUUUUUUUCAUGAAUGGUCUGGUAAAGUGACGGGAAUACUGUAAAACACUUACUUUUGCAAAGGGCUGUGUAACAAUCCUUACCCAAAAAAUAUCCAGUCGCUGAUGUCUGUCUUUGUUUUUGCCUGUGAUUUUGCAUGUUCUUUAGUACAGUUACCUCUUUGUUGUAAUGUUUUUGCAGGACCUUGAAAUCCUCUUCUGAUUAAUCUGAAAUUCAUAUUAUCGAGGUUCCUCUGUACAGGAGUAGUUCCAAAAGUGAACUACCAUAAUUAUCUGUAUUGGAGAUCCAGAAACGUCUAGGCUGCCAAUCAAACUGGUUUUCAGUUGAUUCGCUGAACCAAGAACUCUGCUUACCUGGAGCUUCCUUAUCCCUCUGACAUUUUCACCCUGAGCUAGCUUUUGUGAAACUAUUGCUAUUCUGUAAUUACUGAACACACCAGCACAAUGGUUAUUUUGCAAGGUUCUAAUUUUACAAGGACCUCAUGCCAGUUAUUCAUGUAAAAGAGAAGACUCUUUAUAAUAGUGACAUCAGAAUUUUAGGGACAUGGUUGCAAUGUGACACAUCAGAAAGUUAAAUAUUCCAGGCUACACAACAUUUUCAAAAGAUAGGUAGAAUGAAAAAAGGAGGGUAGUCUUGAUUUAAAGCUAUGAGAAUGGAAGGAUCUUUGCUUAGAGUGAAUCAGUAGGGAUGUGGAAUUAGGAAUAAACUAGAUAGUUAUAUCAUUGGACAGAACUUUAAGCAAGAAAUUAUAGUAAAUUUUAAACAAAGAUGCUAUAAUAAUCAUUGAGGUAAUUGGUCUCUUAAAAACAUAAUAUUGAUGCUGGAAAUCUGAAAUAAAAACAAAUACUGGAGAAACUGUAUGUCUGGCAAUAUCUGUGGAGAGAGAAACUUAACAUUUUGCCCUUAAAAUCUCAAAUGAAGAGAAUUUGAAGGGUUUUGUUGCAGACCACAUUCUGGGUUAAAUCUGAGAAUAAACAAGGCCAAACCAAAAAAAAGUACCUUGAAGAAGGUGAGGUAAAGAAAACAGAUUACCAUAACUCAUGCUGUUCCUAGCUCCAUUGGUCGUAAUUCACAGUUUAAAAGAUGUUAAUGCCUUAGAGUCACACUUACCAUAGACUACAUGAAUAUAUUGACACUCAUGAUGCCAGCUAUUGAUAUUACUGGUCAAGUCAGAUUCUAGACUGAAGAAUGGCUUUAAAUAUUUCAAAACUCAUGGUGAAAUGCAAUGUGUUAAUCCCAAAGCACUCCUUUACAGUACUUAUACCAAAUAGAAUUUCCUUCUCUAUCACAACUAUAGGGCUUAAUUUUACUGCGACUUCAAUUCUGUGUUGAGAAUCUGAGUGCCUCUUCCUGAAGGCUGCAUACCGAUUUAGAAAAGAAAGUCGAACCAAUACUUCUGACCUGGAGUUUUAAAACUAAACUCCUUACUCUGAAGUAGUCCCCUUUUUUUUCUAAACAGUUCUAAACUAUCUCCCUCCUUUUUUUUUUAGGAGCAACUGUUUUCCACAUACAGCUUGAGCUAAGAAUUCUGGGAGCGUGAAACCAAAAUGACUGACUUCAAGCUAUGGGUGUUUCAUACACAGAUCAUUUUCUUUGGUCUGUCUAACAAAAAUGGGAGCACCUUACUGUGAUGAGCAGUCUCCAGAGUGGUGACUUCAAAAUCCAUACAGCCAUGUAGUGAACACAGAAGAACAUGGAGAUUAACCAGUUGCUUGGCAAGGGAGCCAAUGUGGUCAGGAAUGUGUUGGCUAUAACCAACGAUGGUGAUAUGUAACACUAUUUGGAUGGUAAUGAAGGAUGUUCUCAAAUGGGGCCCCCCUUCAUCAAGAUGAUCAUGUUGGAAAUAUAUGGAUUCAAAGCUAUGGAUAUUACCUCAGCACUGGAAACUUAGCAUGAUGUUCAGGAAAAUUGCAAACUAUAUGGAGUUCUUUAAGGGCAUCUAGGAGAAGAGCCUGUUGCAGCCAAAGAUUUUCAUGACAGAGCCUUUGUUCACUGUUAUCCUGAUAGGACUGAUGCUGACAAUGUAACUUUUGAACUCACCAUUCACCUCCGUAUGCGCUCACCUUCCUAACCAAUUACUUCAAGUUUGAUUCUGCAUAUUGCCCUUGAGGCUGUUAUCCAACUCCUUAUAGAAUGGCUAAAAUCGCUGUCUCUAGAUAAUGUUUAGACCGAACAGGUCUGUGACAUACAGCUCUGUGCUGUAUUGAUUGGUCUCAGGAAUUUGCACUGAGGUAGACACCAACUGCAGUUGGAAGACUAAUCAACCUGAUAAAAGACAUCCUUUUACUACUUGAAACCUAUGGCUUCAGGGACUCUGAAGCUUGGGGCAGCCGUUGCAAAGGCACAAUAGGUCCAAGGCAGUGACCUUUCCUUAUCAGCCAUCAUACACUGACAGGAAACUGAUACAUUCUUUGUAAGUCACACAGCCCAAAGGGUAUGUUAUAAAUCAAGAGUAUUAAAAAUGUAUUGAGUCUCCUCAAAAUGGAACAUGAUUUAUACAGGAAAAAUAUAUCUUUUGGACUUCCAAUAUGAAAUAUUUUGCAGUUCAGUUAUAUACUUGAUGGAACGUACUUUGUAAAUAUUACAAUGGUAUAGAGCCUUGAGAUAAGUAAUUACUGUAAAAUCUAUAUUAUUCAAGGUCAAUGUUUUGUAAUGUGUUUAUUUACAAAUUUUAUGAAUAAAAUAUAUUUUUAGAAAAA